AGCCUUAUGUCUCGUUGGUGACCAGCGGAGGGAUCAUUACCGAGUUUACAACUCCCAAACCCCUGUGAACAUACCUUAUGUUGCCUCGGCGGAUCAGCCCGCGCCCCGUAAAAAGGGACGGCCCGCCGCAGGAACCCUAAACUCUGUUUUUAGUGGAACUUCUGAGUAUAAAAAACAAAUAAAUCAAAACUUUCAACAACGGAUCUCUUGGUUCUGGCAUCGAUGAAGAACGCAGCAAAAUGCGAUAAGUAAUGUGAAUUGCAGAAUUCAGUGAAUCAUCGAAUCUUUGAACGCACAUUGCGCCCGCCAGUAUUCUGGCGGGCAUGCCUGUUCGAGCGUCAUUUCAACCCUCAAGCCCAGCUUGGUGUUGGGAGCUGCAGUCCUGCUGCACUCCCCAAAUGCAUUGGCGGUCACGUCGAGCUUCCAUAGCGUAGUAAUUUACACAUCGUUACUGGUAAUCGUCGCGGCCACGCCGUUAAACCCCAACUUCUGAAUGUUGACCUCGGAUCAGGUAGGAAUACCCGCUGAACUUAAGCAUAUCAAUAAGGCGGAGGAA
rnacentral:rRNA from 1 species